UACUACAUCACAUAACAUCACCAUAAAUAAAAACUCAAUUUUAUAACUCGAAAUAACAUAUUUUGGCUUCUUUGAGGCUUACAUUUUUCUUAUAAUAAAAUAAGUAAAUACUAGAUUAUUAACAUCGGCCGUGAUCUCAUAGUAUCACAACCUACAAUCCGUUUUAAAGAUAAACAACAAUCAAACAAACAUUCAAGAAAAACAUAACAUGGGUUAGAGAAUAAUUCUCCACUUUACUCUUAUGAACAAACAUCUUGGAAUUACAUGUAGCGAGAAGGCUCUGCAUACAACAUAUAAAAGAGAAAAACAUAGAGAAAAUAAGGUGUUAGAUAUAUUACAUGAGACUUAAAGUUGUACAGCAAUUGAAAUACAUGGAAACAAACAUAAAUCUACAUUUAUAACUCAAAACCAUCUACUGUAUAUAUAUAUAUAUAUAUAGACACGCACACACAUAUAUAUAUAGCAAAUGCAAUACCCGUGCACCUCUACUCCAUAUUUAUGAUACACUAAGGUACCGUUUGACCAGGCUUUUUUCCGGUCUAAAAGCUACUUUGAAUCAAAGUUAAAAUAAAGGUUUUUAAGAAAGAAGUUAAAGUUGUUUAGUUUCUUUAUUUUUUUUAGUUUUAAAACUAUUUUUAAGUUAAAAGUUGUUUGGAAAAAUAUUGUAAAUACUUUGAAUUUAUUAUUUUUUGGUGGUGUUCGGGAUUCAAACCCCGGACAGACAUAAAAUAUUACUUUAAACGUUAAUGUGUGUAUAUAUUUGUGAGGUUGAAGAAAGGAAAUAAAAAUAUUUGUGAGGUUGUGAUGAUUAAAUCAUAUUGAAAUUAAAUAUAUAAGUGAUAAAAAGAUAAUAAAAUUCCUUAAAAAAAGAUAAUAAAAUUAAAUGGGUCCUCUUUCAAAAAAAAAAAUGGACCAGUUCUAAAAAAUAAAAUAAAAUGAAAGAAAAAUGCAAAUUGAAAUAUAAUAUUAAAAAAUAAAUGAAAAGGUUGUCAGCGCGAGUUGAAGAGAGGCACUUGUGAAAUAAAUUGCCGAGAAGUAGUUUUUUGAAGUAGCAUUCAACAACUUUUGGUCAAAGCUCAUUCCAUUUAAUUUUAUGCAUUCUAAAAAAAGUACUUUUUUUAGAAGGUACUUUAUUGAUAUUGUGUUUGGUCUAACUUCUUCUUAAAAAUGAAGAGAAGCUGAAAAAAAGCCGGACCAAAUGGUAUCUAAUAAUUCAUACCCACAAACAUAGAUUAUGAGGAAAUUGAGAACUAAAGAUUAUUACCAUCCAUCUAGGAGAACUUUAUAACAUCACACUCAUAUUAGUAUGAUAUUUUCUUGUGCCUAGAAUGAAAUUCACAACUUAUACGUAUGCCCUAACAUCAACAAAUCAUCCAGAGUUAUUGGCAUUUUCACACCAAAUAGUAAUCACCUCAUAAACUGGGUUAACAAACCCCACACGCCAUCCAAUUCAUGUAAUAUAUUCAUUAGCAUGUUAAAAACCUAUAUAUGAUGCAUGUUUCACAACAUAAAAUCCAAAAAAUAUCAUCAUAUAAUUAUUAUAUAAAAAAUGUUAAUAUCACCCAUGCCUUUCUUGAGGCAGGUGGCCUGUCUUAAUAAUAUAUAUCACAAAAAUAUACACAAAACAUACAUAUGGAAGAUCAACCUUCUAAUUAGUUAAAAACAUGAAUUUAAAUCUUAAACUAACAACUUAUAUUUUAAUGCCCAUUAAAAUAUGAAGUAAGUGUUCUAUUAUUUUUCUAAUUAAGUCAUUUAAAAUUUCGUUCAUCACUCAAAAAAAGUUAGAACGCGACAGAUGUUCUAGGGAUUUUCUAACCUAAUAAUCGAGUUUUUUGGUCAUUUUCUUCAACCAUAAUUACCUAUUGUUUCGUUAUUUAUUUAUACCCUUGAGUUUUAAAUAAUUCAUUUUGUUGUUGUUUUGGACGCCUACUUAUAUAUAUAGAUACACACAUCUUGUGUUAAUGAAAACAAUGUUAUUAAAGAAUUAUAUAUGUGUACCUACACUUCUUGGAAACUAUAUGGUAUAUAAAGAGACAAUAUUUGAUAUUUGAGUCUUUGUUAUGAAGAAUUUUUUUAAGUUUUUAUAACUUUGUUUUUAUAUUUAUUUUAAACUACAAAUUAUAUAGACUUGUUCAAAGGGAUUGCCGGCUUGUUUGGGUAACUAGUUUGUACUUGUAAAAUCAAUAUUAUUUCCUAAUAUUUCUUGUUUUGAAGUAUUUGACUAUGUGUUGUUGUUAUCAAAUCUGUCAAUUUGCCCGUGUGGCAUUCUUAGGUGCAAUACACAUUUGGGAUGAAUAGAGUAAAUAUAUUUUCAUUUAAUAUCUAGAGGGUGACCUAAGUCCUACUAGUGAUGAAAUAACUAACGAUAUAAAUUUCAGUUUGUAAAUCUUCAUAUUUCACUUAGAGAGAGAUAUGUGUUCAUUAUAUAUAUGGCUGAUAAUAUGAUUGAUCAUAAUAUAAUUUAGUAACGAAUGUGUGGUUGAUUUUUUGUGUUUACUUACUUCCAUCCCAUUAAAAAAAAAUAUUUAACAUGUUUCUAAUAAUAUUAAAGAUAUUUUAGGUUCGGAGAAAUAUAUGUAAGUUUUAGACAAAUUAUAAGAGUAACAACAUUAUAACAAGAAAAGAAAAUAAAAUUAUUAGAUUUACUAGAUAAAUAAAUUUUACCUUUGUAUAAACUCAUACAAUAACCAGUGUUGUUGCAAAACAUAGGUUUUUUAUUACCCGGAUAUAGGUUUUCACAAUCGGCAUCAGUAACACAUUCUUCUGUAAUAUAAAAUAAGAAUAAAGAAAUAUUAUUAAAAAUGAUUGAAAGAUUCUGAAUGGGAUUAAAAACUGAGAAUGGCUUACUUCCACUAGCUUCCGCAAUAAGCAAUAAGGAAACACAAAGUAUCAUAAUAUAAACAAACUUAAUA
rnacentral:lncRNA from 1 species